CUGGUCGUGUACAAUGUAGCGCAGGCGGGAGGCUGGGCUUUGCUACUCGCGCGGCUGCUCUUGGCGCCAGGAGAGGUGAAAACGGGAGAAAUUCGCCUCGCAUGUAAAACUUUCUGUCGAAAUUUCGGCUCUCGAUUCCAUUUCUCAAUCCCUACGUUUCUGGCUGUGAAGAUUACCUCCAGUUCUUUGCGCUGUUAGAAGUGAUACAUUCUUUGCUCGCGUUGCUGCAAUGGGGUGGGAGAUUUCACGUCAUCG